rnacentral:rRNA from 1 species
AGUGAACGCUGGCGGUAGGCCUAACACAUGCAAGUCGAACGGCAGCACAGUAAGAGCUUGCUCUUACGGGUGGCGAGUGGCGGACGGGUGAGGAAUACAUCGGAAUCUACUUUUUCGUGGGGGAUAUCGUAGGGAAACUUACGCUAAUACCGCAUACGACCUACGGGUGAAAGCAGGGGAUCUUCGGACCUUGCGCGAUUGAAUGAGCCGAUGUCGGAUUAGCUAGUUGGCGGGGUAAAGGCCCACCAAGGCGACGAUCCGUAGCUGGUCUGAGAGGAUGAGCAGCCACACUGGAACUGAGACACGGUCCAGACUCCUACGGGAGGCAGCAGUGGGGAAUAUUGGACAAUGGGCGCAAGCCUGAUCCAGCCAUACCGCGUGGGUGAAGAAGGCCUUCGGGUUGUAAAGCCCUUUUGUUGGGAAAGAAAAGCAGCAGGUUAAUACCCCGCUGUUCUGACGGUACCCAAAGAAUAAGCACCGGCUAACUUCGUG